GGCCGACUAGCUCAGUUGGUUAGAGCGUCGUGCUAAUAUUGGUAGUCGGGUCAAAGCCUCACCUUGUUAACGCGAAGAUCUUGGGUUCGAUCCCCACGUUGGCCA